rnacentral:lncRNA from 1 species
GCUACUAAAACUCAGCUCAGCUACUAAAUCCUUACUUGAUUUAGGGGGUAGGAUGCUACAGAAACUGCACUUAGGAGUUCGAUACUUUCAUUGUGCUGGGUUACCACUGCAUACUACUAAGUAUCACUGAUUAAUUGUGAGACUCAUCGAGCGUCGUUUUGAUGAUCGAUGAUCCUCGAAGGACAAAAUUGAAAUUAUUCCAAUCCAUCGAAAGGAGUUUUAAUAAUAUUAUGAUGAAGAUCACAAUAUAUCUCACUAUCAGACAGAAUAAAACC